ACACUCUGUAAACAGGAAUAGGUGCAUCACCGGUCACUGAGCUGGCAAGCUAAAGUUACUCACAGAAAUGUACUUUCAGCCUGUUAAUUAUUUAUCUUACGAAGUCAGCAUGGCUUCACAUAGUUCAUUUCGUUUUUGACUUCGAGAUUGUUGCUGGAUAGAUACUUUCAUAUCUAACAUGCUGGCGAUGCUAGCUAAUGCUAACGGCGCUAGGUAAUCUCAUAUCUGGAUGCCUCACUCUAGUUCCCGAGAGAGCAGCAUACUGAUAAGUCAACUUUGCUUUCAAACUUUGUAAUCAUCUGUAAAGUUGUUUUACAUGCAAUCAUACAAGCUAGAUAGAUACAUAUUUUGUUAAAAAGCCUGAUGUCAUUCAUUGGUUGUUUCUUUGGAGUUAGCUAAGCUAUCACUAGCUAGCUAGGUUUAUAAUAAUGUAACGUACAGUUGGCUACAGUAACGUUACAGUAUAAUAUAGCCUUGUUACAACUAGUUGGUUGAUAUGGGGUGUAGUAGGCUAGCGUCGUUAUGUUCUUUUUGACUUGGUAAAAUAAGCUAAUGGUUGUGUGCACUCCCACUGGAUAGAAUUGUGUGGUUUGGUGGCAGAUUUUCUAAAGAAAAUAGACAUAUACAGUAUAUAAUCAGCAAUUUUCAAUCAGAUGAGAUACACAGUGAACCCAUAUUGAAGUUCAUUCAUACAUGUGGACACUAAGUAUUGUUAAUAUUCCAAUUCUCUAGGCCCUCCAUUCCCAAACCUGAAGCCCCCUGUCCCGAGCAGGAAAGACCAGGAAAAAGUGUUUAAAAGUGCCUUACGCAUGUACAACUUCCUAUUGAGGAAAUAUAAGACAACUCAAUGUGACAUUUAGAUUUAGAGUUACUGACAUGAAUAGAAGCAUACACAAGCAAUCUAUCAAAUGUAUUUUAUAAAACCCAUUUUACAUCAGCAAUUGUCACAACGUGCUUAUACAGAUACCCAGCCUAUAACCCCAAAGAGCAAGCAAUGCAGACGUAGAAGCAGAGCGGCUAGGAAAAACUCCCCAGAAAGGCAGGAAUCUUGGAAGAAACCAGGCUCUGAAGGGUGGCCAGUGCUCUUCUGGCUGUGCUGGUGGAGAUUAUAAAAGAGUACAGCUAUUUAGCCAGAUUAUGACCAGCAGUGUCAAAUAAUGAAGGGUUAUAGAGGGUGCAAUAGUUCAGCACCUCAGGAGUAAAUGCCAGUUGGCUCUUCAUAGCGGCGCAUUUAGAUGUUGAGACAGUAGGUCCGGUAGAGAGAGACAGGAUCAAACAGCGGGUCUGGGACAAGUUAGUACCUCCGAUGAGCCUUGAGCGGGUCAGGGUUCCAUAGCUGCAGACAGAAACAGCAGAGACUGGAUGAGCAGCACGACUAGGUGGACUGGAGACAGGGACAGCCAGGAGUCGUCAGGCCAGAUCUUCCAACCUGCUCGGUGGGUGACAGGUAACCAUCUUUCCACCAAUCUUUUCCAGGCCUGGAGUGGCUGGCUGGAACUUCCAGAGGCUUGUAGACCUGAAGCAGUGUGAUGUGGUCUGGAUCUAAAAGAUCUAUUUGCUCAACCACAGUCCUCACAGCUGCAGUCGUCUGCCCCUACACCUGCUACUCCGGCCACGACAGCACACUCUGCCAACCCGGAUGUCCUAGCCGUGUCUGAAUCCUGGCUUAGGAAGACCACCAAAAGCUCUGAAAUCUCCAUCCCUAACUACAAAAUUUUCAGACAAGAUAGAACGGCCGAAGGGGGCGGUGUUGCAAUCUACUGCAGAGAUAGCCUGCAGAGUUCUGUCCUACUAUCCAGAUCUGCCACCCCAAGCAGUUCAGCUGCAGUCACAGCAGUCCUCUGCUGCACCAGUUCCUACUACACUGGCCGUGAAGGGAGAAACCUUUUUGUACGAUACCCAGAUGGAUACAGAUCUGCCAUGCACUCCACCACUGCCCGACAGCCUCACCCAGAAGACACUGGGCCUAUCAAGACUGACAAAGCAGAGACGGGUGGCUGACAAGGGAAAAUAAAACAACAUGCACUCACACACAUUAUCCACAAUGUAAAUAAGUUGUAAUUACUUGUUUAUUUAAUGUUUGGUCCAUUUUAUUUUAGGAUUGGAGAUAUCUACUCUUUCAUAUCCAUUCUUAAUAUCUACAUAAUUACUCUAAAUAUCUAUCAAAUCAAAGUGUGAUUGAUAAUAUUGUAAAAGACUAUGGCUUAAUGUUUACAGUUUGAGGAAAUUCUGUGUGCUUUUUUUCCUGAGUUGAUAUACAUGUCUCCCUAUCACACGCACACAUUAGACCCAAUGUAAAUAAAUUGUAAUAACUUGUUUAUUUUAUGUAUGCUACAUUUUAUUUGAGGAAAAUAUCUGCAAUAAACUACAAUCAGUUAAA